GGUCCUGUAGUGUAGUGGUUUAUCACUUGGGAUUUUGAACGAGUCCGCCGGCUGGCCCCUGAUCCCGGUCGGUUGGCGGUCCCGGUUCUUCCCAAAACCCAGGUUCGAACCCUGGCAGGACCU